CCCCCCCCGGCAAAACGGAGGCGCUUUCCCUUGGAUCUUAGUUGCCAUCAUUAAGUUGGGCACUCUAAGGUGACUGCCGGUGACAAACCGGAGGAAGGUGGGGAUGACGUCAAAUCAUCAUGCCCCUUAUGACCUGGGCUACACACGUGCUACAAUGGACGGUACAAAGAGCUGCAAGACCGCGAGGUGGAGCUAAUCUCAUAAAACCGUUCUCAGUUCGGAUUGUAGGCUGCAACUCGCCUACAUGAAGCUGGAAUCGCUAGUAAUCGCGGAUCAG
rnacentral:rRNA from 1 species